rnacentral:rRNA from 1 species
AGCAGCCACCUUUUAAAACGCGUCAAAGCGUAACCUUAAUUCCCAAAUACCAUUAAUCUUCAUGAACCCCUAAUUUAUAAUGAAUGACUCCAUAUUUAUAUGGAAGACACCAUGCUAGGAUUAGUAACAAGAAUUUAUAAUUCUCCAAAAUGCAAACAUAAACCAACAUGGAUAGACCAUUGGUAGUUACCGAACCUAAAUUCACUGCAAUAACACCCACAAGAAAACUCUGCAGUACUUACUCGUUAACCUAACACUAGCGCAUUACAGGAAAGAUUUAAAAAAAGAGAAGGAAUUCGGCAAAUCACGGCCCCGCCUGUUUACCAAAAACAUCGCCUCUUGACUUAUAAUAAGAGGUCCAGCCUGCCCAGUGAAUUUUUAACGGCCGCGGUAUCCUAACCGCGCGAAGGUAGCAUAAUCACUUGUUCUUUAAAUGGGGACUCGUAUCAACGGCAUCACGAGGGUUUUACUGUCUCCUCUUUUUGAUCAGUGAAAUUGAUCUUCCCGUGAAGAAGCGGGAAUAAUACUAUAAGACGAGAAGACCCCAUGGAGCUUAAAACCAAAUAACAACUUAACCACUCACCCCCCUAUAAAUUUAAGCCCUGUUAUAAGGUUUUCGGUUGGGGUGACCGCGGAGUAAAGCUCAUCCUCCACGACGGAAAGAACACACUCUUUAUUUAAGAACCACAAUUCUAGAAAUUAGUAUACUAACGUUUACUGACCCGAUAAUCGAUCAACGGACCAAGUUACCCUGGGGAUAACAGCGCAAUCUACUUCAAGAGCUCAUAUCGACAAGUAGGCUUACGACCUCGAUGUUGGAUCAGGGUAUCCCGGUGGUGCAGCCGCUACCGAAGGUUCGUUUGUUCAACGAUUAAAACCCUA